rnacentral:rRNA from 2 species
ACCGUUUUGAGUAACACGUGGGUAACCUGCCUGUAAGACUGGGAUAACUCCGGGAAACCGGGGCUAAUACCGGAUGGUUGUUUGAACCGCAUGGUUCAAACAUAAAAGGUGGCUUCGGCUACCACUUACAGAUGGACCCGCGGCGCAUUAGCUAGUUGGUGAGGUAACGGCUCACCAAGGCAACGAUGCGUAGCCGACCUGAGAGGGUGAUCGGCCACACUGGGACUGAGACACGGCCCAGACUCCUACGGGAGGCAGCAGUAGGGAAUCUUCCGCAAUGGACGAAAGUCUGACGGAGCAACGCCGCGUGAGUGAUGAAGGUUUUCGGAUCGUAAAGCUCUGUUGUUAGGGAAGAACAAGUACCGUUCGAAUAGGGCGGUACCUUGACGGUACCUAACCAGAAAGCCACGGCUAACUACGUGCCAGCAGCCGCGGUAAUACGUAGGUGGCAAGCGUUGUCCGGAAUUAUUAGGGCGUAAAGGGCUCGCAGGCGGUUUCUUAAGUCUGAUGUGAAAGCCCCCGGCUCAACCGGGGAGGGUCAUUGGAAACUGGGGAACUUGAGUGCAGAAGAGGAGAGUGGAAUUCCCACGUGUAGCGGUGAAAUGCGUGAGAUGUGGAGGAACACCAGUGGCGAAGGCGACUCUCUGGUCUGUAACUGACGCUGAGGAGCGAAAGCGUGGGGAGCGAACAGGAUACAGGAUUAGAUACCCUGGUAGUCCACGCCGUAAACGAUGAGUGCUAAGUGUUAGGGGGUUUCCGCCCCUUAGUGCCUGCAGCUAACGCAUUAAGCACUCCGCCUGGGGAGUACGCAGCU